AUACGGAGGGUGCAAGCGUUACUCGGAAUCACUGGGCGUAAAGCGCGCGCAGGCGGUCUUUUAAGUUGGAUGUGAAAGCCUACGGCUCAACCGUAGAACUGCAUCCAAAACUAUUAGACUAGAGUGUGGGAGAGGAAGAUGGAAUUAGUUGUGUAGGGGUAAAAUCCGUAGAGAUAACUAGGAAUACCAAAAGCGAAGGCAAUCUUCUGGAACACUACUGACGCUGAGGCGCGAAAGCGUGCGGAGCAAACAGGAUUAGAUACCCGAGUAGUCC
rnacentral:rRNA from 1 species